CUAUACUGACAAGGAGGAUUGUUGUAAAAUUGCACCCACACGUAGUCAAAGAGGCCAGUUUUGAUAGCAGUGUCAAGAUAAUAGUCAGGAAUGGGACAUUGUGGUGCUGCAGAUAGGUACACCUUUCUCUCUGGAGUGCUGUAUCCCGAGAGUGCCCGGGCGAGAUCAUCCCAAUACAGGUUCGAUCCAAGUUCGAUGUCAAAGUCUAUGCCAUCUAAAACAGCAUCACCAAGUGGACGAGAGUCUGACUGACCGCCCAAAUAAUUGUUCCAGAGGUAGUCUGCAACAUUGCGAGCAUCCUCGGGGGAAGCCAGGAUUGGUCCUCUUCCUGUCCCAGGAGAACCUCCACCAAGAGAGAGGAGCACUUUGAUGCCCAGGCUCUGGCAAACCUCUAUCUCAGAACUCAGGAAGGUGCAUGGGCUUGGGAUACAGUGGCCAGCUAGGUUCAGUUCUGGUGUUUGGCCACUGCCAAAGGAUACCAGAAAGGCAAUAUUUACAUAGUCAUAGUUGCCACUACGGCAGGCGUCUUCCAGGCUUCCUUCAUUGCCAUUUUGGCCCCAGUAGACUGCGAUUCCAGCUCCUUCUGAGGACCUGGUCAAUGCAGAUAUCAUCAGCAGGGAUAUUAUUGCUAAGAACAAAGGUCGUAAACAGGCAGCCAUUUUUUUUUUCUUUUUCUCAGCUAUUUUUGCAGAUUUAUUUGGAGGUCAAAUUGGUUGCCCAAAGAUGGUCCCUUUUAUAGAUGAUUUCAGAUUUACCAAAAAAACGUGAAAUGUGUGCCUUUUGCCAGCGUCGAGCCAACCAUGGCUCAGGUCUUAUUCUAUAUUUAAUCUAGAAAAUCAAAUGAAUCGAUCAAAUUCGGUCAAAAAUUGGUAGGAUCAUUCAAAAUCGGUUAAAAAAUAAAAAUAGGCCUUGAACUGAUUUUUCACUAAAAAUUUCUUUCUUGUUUAUAUAUUCAUUUUAUUCAAAUCAUUUAAUAAUAAAAUAAACAAAUAUAUAUAUAUAAUUAUUAAACAAAGGUUGAACCACAAAAUAAAUUGAAUUGUGAAUCGGAAAUUCAUCCAGUUCACUUGUAGGUCCGGAUUUCAAAAUAUUGCCUUUUGCUGUAUUUUCAUGCUUGGGAGCACAAAUUAUUAGAGUCAUUUUCUAAAAUAGUUGCUUGAAUCAUCCAGGACGAUACACAAUGGAAAACAGCAGUAAAUUUUUUUGACUAUUGUACUGUUAUCUUUCUAUGGCAUUGUUUGGCGGACUAGUUUUUUAUCAAGUUUAUCUGCUAUAAGUUUUUUAAAAACUUUAACUAAACUAAUCUCAAAAAACUUUUUAAAAUUUUUAUACUAUACACAUCAAAAUAUUCAAAAAAACACAUUUCAAAAAUUUUUUAAAAAAUUUUUACAAUAAAAUUUUAGAUAAACGUCCAAAAAAAUUCACUUGACAAACGUGAUGGUCUUGGAGGAACUCUACAUUCUACAAGUGCCAUAAUUGAUAUUCAUUUUUUUUCCUUUUGGAGAGGACUGGGAAAUAGGGAAGGAUGACUUCUAGGUUUGCGACACGUUUUGUCGAACCGAGGUGGACCACGUGCUCUUUACUCAAUCGUCACAUGAUCCACCAACACAUAUUCCAACCCACACAAAAAAAAAAUUUUGCGACUCUUUAAAGUCUCGAUGCAGCGGCCCAGACGAUACCACUAAAGAUUGUGUUGGUGUGUGAUUAUUAUGAAUUUUUGUCAGCCAAGUAAUUUUGGGUUCACCCAAAAUUCUGCAGAACCAAAAACUUUUAAAGGCCAAGAAAGCCACCCAACGGCGGAACAUGUAAAUCAAAAUUGAUGACUAGGUCUAAACAGACUGUUGAUUAUUAGAGAUGCAUCUAGAAAAGUGAAUCCCUUAGAAAGAGUUGCAGUUUUUUUUUUUUUUUUUUUGUCGCAACGAUAGAUGUCCUAUAACAUAAUCUAGCCUAGUCUAAGGGGAGGGGGUUCGAUGUGAGUACAGACUCCAUCGAUGAAGGUCAAUUAAGACCGCGGGAGGUAAGGAUUGAACCCCUGACCUCCAGCAUCACCUUUAAUGGUGAUGACCACUGGACCAAAUGGCCAGUGACAGAAAGAGUUGCAGUUUACUUCUCCGUUUUAUGACUUAUGUGCAUAAGUAGUCCCCAAACUUUUGACUUUUGCAAAUAUGGUCCUCGAUGGUUCGAAUUAUGUACAAAUUUAGGAUAAUUGACAAAAAAUCAAGAUGGCAAAGUUCAAAAUCAAAUUGCUGUAAGUCAAAAGUUUUGACUUGGCAUUGUUGAUCAUAACGUUGAAGUUUCAAUUAAGAUGGUUUCUUAAAAUUUAAAUAGUGGCAUUAAAAAGUGGUAUUAAAAGUUUUAAGAUGAAAUGAGAUACAAAUUAUAUCGAAAUUACAAUAUAUGUAUACUAGAGAAUUUAAUAAUAAAUAACUUAGAAAAGCUAAUUAAAUCUGUUUUUAAUUUCUAUUGCUUGCCCUAAAAAUUUAUUGAUUUCUUUUUUCUCAAACUUGGAAAAUACGUUGAGUGUUAUUUCAUUGAGUGUUAAAUAUAAUCGUUGAUGUUGCACUUAAGACUCUGCUCUACGAUCAAAACCCCAGCUCAGAUAGCCGUAGAGGUUCUUUCCCGUCAAGAAUAUGAUGCCAAUGUAAUUUGUUCUAUAAUUAUUAGCUUUAGACUAAUUGGAUGACUGACGUGUCAUCAAUUUUUCCUUAAACAGGGACACUUUUGAUAAAAGUUGAAUGGGUAAUUACCCUUUGAAUAAUUAAUUUUUGCACAAAUUAUAGACUUGUUGAAAAUUUAUCUGUCCCAACUCUCUUGAAGUAACAACUAGUCUUGGUAUAAGUUUGUUCGCAAAUGUUUUAUCCAUAUAAUGACAAUGUUGUUAGACCCAAACCAGACUAACCCGUCUGAAUAUGAACUGACCUUCUCCCAAAGAUGAUUAGUAGCGUAAAAUCACUUUGAUUAAAAAAUAGUCAAAAUCGUAAAAAAUCAGCCAAACUAGUGAGCCGAUUCAACUACUUGACUCAAUUUUCAAUUUUUUUUUCUUGUUUUCUCGAAACAUAAUUUGAGUUACUUAUAUUGUAAAACUUUCAUUUAUUAAUAGGAAUAAGAAAAUGGCACUCACUUUGUGUAAACAUCAAAAUCACUAACUUCCCUCAAUGAUUUCUAAAUCAAAGGUUUUCAUCCAUAUUAUCUUAUCAAUUUAUCAUUAGUGAUUCAAGCUUGCAUUAUAAAGGCAUACUAGAAAUUUGCCCAUGCCUUAGCACGGUCUUUUUUUUUUUAAUUUAUUGUGAAUUUAUACAAAUAUAGAUAAUUUAAGGGAAAAAUUGUAGAAACGUCCCCUGAGGUUUCUGACACUAGCACUCACCUCUCCUGCAGUUUAAGAAAUAGUACUCAUCUCCCUUGAAUUUACUGAUUUUUUGCAUAUUCAGUCCAGGCUAGAAAAAAUGCCAUUAAAUAUUGUUUUAAGGAGCGAGAUGAGAAAUUUGUGCCAGAUUUGCCUUUGUGCUACAUGCCAAGUAGUAUUAGCAAAGGAAUGACAAAACAUUAUAAAACAAUUAACAAUUAAUAAACUUCAAGGGGUGUUGUUUAUGGACAAAUGGGCAUUACCUAUUCAAAAUACUAGCUCUCUUUGGACAUUUUACUCUUAAACAUUUAAUUUAUGAUAAACACAUCAAUGUUUGUAAGUAAAAUUUAAAAAGUGUUACAGUAAUAUUCUUACAAAAAGGAAACUGGUAGGUUAUCUAUUUAACAAAAAUUUAAUAUUUUUUAAAAAAGAAAUGGCCCAUAAAGUAUUUACUCUUUAUGGCUUUUCUUCAUUACAUGAAAAAGGUAUUGGCUCUUUAUGGGCAUUUUACUGUAAAUCAUUUAAUUUAUGUUAAAUACAUAAAUGUUUGUAACUAAAAUUGAAAAAGUGUUACAUUAAUAUUUUUAUGAAAGGGAAACUGGUAUGUUUUGUAUUUAACAUAAAUUAAAUAUGUGAAAGUAAAAAAAAAAAGAAAAAAAAGAAAUUGCCCAUAACAUACCAGCUCUUUAUGGAUUUCGUCCAUUACAUGAACAAAGUACUAGCUAUUUAUGGCUAUUUUACUCUGAAUCAUUUAAUUGAUAUUAAAUAUAUAAAUGUUUGUAAGUAAAAUUCAAAAAGUUUUACACUAAUAUUUCUACGAAAGAGAAACUGGUAGGUUUUGUAUUUAACAUAAAUUGAAUAUGUGAAAGUAAAAAAAAAAAAAAAAGAAAUUACCCAUAACAUACCAUCUCUUUACGUGUUGCCUCCAUUACAUGAACAAAGUACUAGCUAUUUAUGGAUAUUUUAUUUUGAAUCAUUUAAUUUAUGUUAAAUAUAUAAAUAUUUGUAAGUAACAUUUAAAAAGUGUAAUACUAAUAUUUUUACGAAAGGGAAACGGGUAGGUUUUGUAUUUAACAUAAAUUAAAUAUGUGAAAGUAACACUUACAGGUGGUUUAAUUAGUUUAAUUAGUUACUUAAUUUGUUGACAGGAAGCAAGGUUUCUUUUGCAAAAUUUGUUCAUUAGAUUUCUCCAAAUAAUUAGGAUAUCAAGGUAAAUUUCCACAAUCUUUUGUUAGCAAUAAGCCCCAAUUUAAAUUUUUAUAAUGACCAUAAACCUAGAACUAUAUAUUCACAUUUAAUUAAGUAGAAAAGAUCUAGCAAUCCCUUUUUUCAUCAAUAAAUAUUUAGUUUCCAACAAUAUCGAUAAUUCUGUCGGUAUAACAAUUAAUUCUCUUUUUUACACUAGGUUAAUUCAAAAUGGACGGAAGAGAUGAUGAACAAUUUAAAUACUAAUCAGCAAUAUGGGGAUGAAAGGAAGUAAUUUAUGGAAUAUGUAAGAUUUUAAUAAUUGUAAUUUGAAAAAGGUUUUACUAUAAUUCUAUGUAAUAAUUUGAUAGAAAGCAGAUAUGAUUAACAAAAGAUUAGUUAUUUUCUAAAAGUUAUUUUAGGUAUCAUUAAGAUAAGAUUAGUUCAUUUUUAAAUUUAUUUUAAAAUUAGGGAUAAUUUUUAAACAUAUAAUAUAAUAUUCAAUAUGGGUAAAACCCAAAUGACCAUAACCUAUUAAUUCUCUUCAAUUAAGCAUGCCACAUAGGAGUGAAAAACACUCUAAUUAAAAUAGUUACUUUCAUAUAUAUAUAUAUAUAUAUAUAUAUAUAUAUAUAUAUAUAUAUAUAUAUAUAUAGAGAGAGAGAGUCCCAACAAAAAGAUCUCAAAUUGGGUAUGAUUGUUUUAAUUUAGUUUUUAAGUAAUUUUGGAGAAUGGACAUAUUUUAGACAUGAAUUCAUAUUUUUAUAUAUAAUUUUUAGGUGUGUAUUUGAUUGCAACCUAAUAUUUUUGUAACAUUUUGUAUGGUUAGCUGAAUAUAACCAAGAAAUAAAUUUCAAUAUUUCUGAAACUUAUAAAAAUAUAAAAUAAUUAUGGCAUCAUGCUAACCUUAGCGAAUUUUAAGAGAAUGGUGUAACUGAUCCGACUAGUUAACCCUUGACCCAGUAGUUUAGUUGCAAUAGGUUAUAAUGGUUAAAGAAUGGUUAUAAUUGGAUAUGUCAUCUGAAUGUUUGACAAAUCUAUGUGUAUACCUGGAAGGAAAAAACUAAAAAUGUCACUAUGAAAAUGAUUAAAAAAUGGGACUAAUCACAUUAUUUCUCAAUUUGACAAUUCAAUCUUUAUUAAUCAAGGAAAAAAAAUGAGCUAAAGUGAUAAAGUUGUAAUGAGGUGAAUAAUUUUAAUACGGGACUAAUCAAAUUAUCCAAAUUUAUUUUCGUUAAUUAUGGAAGGAAAAAGGGGUUAAAGUCUAUAAACAAACUAUAAACAAUUUAUAUUAAACACUCAUUUGAAGUGGGAAAGUUUUAAAUUUUAAAUUUGAAUUGACAUAGGAUUAGUUGUAAAUCACUAUUUAAAACUUUUUAAUUGAGUGUAUGUAUUAAAAUAAAUGAAAAUUCCAGGAAAAAUGCAUGGGAGAUUUGGAAGCCAUCCAAAGGGCCUCCACUAAAACUUCCCCUGCAGUACAUAUAGAUACUAGUGUAAAUACCCAUGCUACGCACGGUGCUGACAUUAUUAAAAAAAUGAAAAUAAAAUGAUGAAUUAAAAAAGGUUAAAAAUUAUACCAACAUAAUUAAAAUAUAAUAUCUAUCUAAUAGUAUUUUGAAAUAUGAUAGAAUGUGUAUAUUAUUCAAAAAUUACCUUUUUUCGAAAGAUAGAUCCCGAAAAAAUAAUAAAAAUUUAUAUUAGAAAAUGAAUGAUAUAUGAAUAAAAAUGAAUGUAAUUAAAUGUUGUUAAAAUAAAAUACUUACAUAUAUUAUGCAUUCGAUUUGAUAAUCUUGCAUGAAGAUGCGAACACUCUUCACACCAAUCAACUUUUAGUACAAAAGCCAAAAUUGGUGAUUUAAUUAAUUCUGUUGAAUUUUGUGGAAUGCGUACUACAAAUGAAAAUGCACGAUCUUUGCAUGAAUUGAUUCAUUGGUUGAACAACCUAUCAACAUUAUCCUGAGAAUUAAGUAUGUGUGAAAUUCAAAAUUAGUGUAUUUUUUACAUAGUUUAUAAAUAGGUUUAUAAAAAAUAAACAUAUAUCAAGAAAUUCUACCUUCCUUUGUAAUUCUCUGAGAUAAGAAGCAUUACAAUCAAAUAUGAAUCGUGCAUGUCUGUCCUGUAGAUUAAGAUGUAUGUUACCAUUGGAAUCUUUGAUUUAUAUAUUAACAGUGUACCAGUUUGAUAAAUAAAAUGUUAUAUACAAUACAAAAAAAUUUGUUGAAAUUAAAGAUACAUGAAAUUAAUUACCUAACAACAGUGUCGACCAUAUCAUUACAAUGCAUACACACUGUUUUUGAAAAACGACCUUCACAUAGUUAUCCACAAUUUUUGCAUAACUCAUAAAACAUGUUUUCUAUGUUAAUGCUCCGAAUGUAAGCAAGUAUUCGAAAAUAUUUAACCUAGUAAGAAUGAAAGAAGGUAUGGGUUAUGAUUAUAAAUUAAAAAUAUUUGUGCAAUAAUUAAAUUAAAUAGAAUAAAUUUACCGUAUGCAUGAUUGUAUAUUCGGAUAUCCAUAUUCUCUUUGAAUUGCUAUUAACAAUGCUUGUGAUGUUGUAAAAUUGCUUGACCAACCACGUAACUAACUUUUGAGCACAUGUAUCAUUUUCAAACCUACAAUUUUUUGAAAUACAUGUUGAUAAGAGUAUGAAACAAUAUUAAAAGUUUGAUGUAGUCUUACUGAUGGAACUCACCAACUGCGCAGGUAUCGAGCAAAAUCUAAAUUGUGAUUGACAUACAAUUUGCUAACUCCAAUUGUACAAAGUGAUGGUCCUGCAUAGUAUGAUUAUAUUCGCUAAAAAACUAUUCAAAUUAUAUAGAGUAUAAGUAAAAGCAUUUGAUUUACCUCUGAAAUUUUGUACGCAAAUACUACAUGCUAGUAAAAUAUUACUUUUUUGUAGCAGACUGAUAUUAUAGGAUUUGUGGUAUAUUCAAUAACUUGAUACUCAAAUCACCGAUUAGGUAAAGUUUGUCUAAAUAAGCUUUACAGUGUCCUAACUUCUUGGAAAAAAAAAGUACUAAAUAGUCCUAAUUGGCAUCGCAAGUUACGGCAACGUGCCCGCGCCAUGAAGGCCUAAUUUUUUUUUUUUGGUCAAAAUCUAGUCCUAAUUGGUUUUGCUGUUGCUUGAUCAUGUUGUAUGCUUGCGAAUAGGGGUGGGCAAAAUUAUCCGCUAAUCUGAAAACCCGUCAUAUCCGAUCCGAUCCGAAAAUUAGGAUAUCCGAUUUUUAUUAUUUGAUCGGGUUGCGGGGCAGGUUUGAGUCACCUAAUUAAAAACCCGCGGGUACCCGAUCCGCCCCGCAUAUAUAUAUUUUAUUUUAUUUUUAUUUUUAUACACACACUAUAAAAUAAUAAGAACUAAAUAAGUAAUUUUAUUGAACAAAUUGCAUUACAAUAUGAGAGACUAUAGUUUAUUUACAAGAUUCAUUUGUAGAGACCAUGAUCUUAUAUUUUAUAGAAAAAAGUUUAAUUAAUGUGGAACAUAUAUAUUAAAAAUUGUGCUACUUAUUUCAAACUUUUAUUGAUUUCGAAUUCUUUUAAAUUUUUUCCUUUAUCUUAUAUUUUCUUCACAUGCUUGUUUUUUGGUGGGAAACCUGUUUUUUAGAAAAAAAAAAUAUUUCUUAAAUCUUAGAUGAAUGUGUAAAAUAUAAAAUUAAAUUGGUAUAAAUCAUUUUUUUUAAAUUAAAUGAUAAAUGGGGUGGGCGGGUACCCGUUGACCCGACCCUAUCUCAGCAGAUACUCAAUUAUAGGGUACCCGCUGAUAUGCAGAGCGGGUAAGGGUCAAAAAAUGGCUGACCCGCAAGGUACGGGUCGGAUCAGCCAAAUGGUGAAUAGGGCGAGUACCCGACCCGCGCCCACCCCUACUUGCGAAUUAAAAUUGUAUUAAAAUAGCAUGUGAAUGAGCAUUUGUCUUUAAUUAAGAAGUAAAAAGAUUUAAAGUAUAAAUAACAAACUAUAAACGGUUUAUGAAGUAGAUUAUGGGAAAGUUUUAAAUUUUAAAUUAGACUGGUGAUAGGGUUGGUUAUAACCCAUUACUUUUUAUGUAUUAAAAUAAAUACAAAAAUCUAUAACCCACUAUUUGUUGUGUUCUUGGAAUUUUUUUAGGGUUAAAUAUAGUAAACCCCUUAACUUUACAUUUAGCUACACUUUACCCCAUUAACUUUAUUUUUAGUUGCACAUUUGUGAUUUUUUGAAACGUGAUUGUAAUUUGUAAAGUUCAUUUGUAGGGGUGGUUAUAGGGUUAGUGUGGUGACAAAUAUUUCUUAAUUAUAAAAAUGUAACAUUGUAUUAAAAUAGCAUACGAAUGAACAUUUGUCUUUAAUUAAUGAGUAAAAAGGAUUUAAAGUAUGAAUAACAAACUAUAAACGGUUUAUGAAGUAGAUAGUGAGAAUAUUUUAAAUUUUAAAUUUGAUUGGUGAUAGGGUUGGUUAUAACCCACUGCUUUUUAUGUAUUAAAAUAAAUACAAAAUCUAGAAAAAAGAAUAAAAAGUUUGGAAGCCAUUGAGAUGGUUUCUGCUAAAAACUCCUUCUGUAAAAUAGAUAGAUAUAAAUAGAUAGAUUUUAUUUAAAACAAUAAAGGUUAUAUUUGGUGUGAACAAGUGUGAACUCUAUAUAUAUAGAUCUAUCAAUAAAUUUUUGUGCCAAACUGAAAUUGAUAAUAAAUGAACUUUAACCCGUUCCUGAAACUGAGGCCCAUCCAUCCUCUAAAUCUGGCAUUGCGCUCAUAUACUCGAAGUAACCAUACAGACAUGAUAAAUAUUUGAGAAAAAAACCUGGGGAGCCCUUAAACUAUUGUCGUUGUCAUCUUUUGGCCCCCCAUCUAAAAUUUGUUUCCGAUUGAUCCUUAAACAAUUAAAAAUGCAUACUUUGAGGACUUCUGAUCACUUUAACCACAAAUCUAACCGGAAGUAAAGGGCAUUUUUGUCCGUUCAUGUUUGCACCCUCGGGACCAGCAACUAAGUAGCGUAAAAAGAGAUUGAAAGAUGCAACUCUUCAAUUCUUAAGCAAGGCAAAAUCGAAGCAACGGAAAUCCUUUCCAAAAAUCGAGUUUUGCCCAUUUGUUGAAAUCCCAUCUUCUUCUUCUAAUUUCAUCUAAAGUAUAAGAAGAAUGGCUAGAUAAUCUUUCAAUUACAGCUAUUGAAGGUUGCAUGGGAGAAAUUCUGCAUUGAAAGCUACAGAUGGACAGAGAAAUGAAAUGGAUGAUCAGAAGGAGGGAUGCAUAUUUUGACCCAUAUCUCGUAUACGGUAAUGUGCCUCUUGAUUUGUAAGCUUAUAUCGUUGGGGUUUGUGUGUGUAAUUGUUGUGUUAUUAUUGAACAAUUUAAGGGCUGUUAAAGAAUUAGAUGUUGGUUGAUAGGGGCUUAGAUAUAGUGGAGUUUAAUUAAAUUAAUUGGGUGGAAACAGGGUCUGAGAGUUUUGUCCUGUUGGUAGGUUGCAUGGGGUCCUACUAUAUCUGUGGUCCAUUAUUAGUUUACUAAAAAUAGUAAAUUAAUGAAAUUUCUGGUAUAGAGUUUGACAAAAAAUAGUUGAUGUUGCAUGGGCAAUUGUUUAUAUAGCAAUUUUGCUGCUUAUUUUUUACUACUCUAUGAAUAUAGUGAAUUUUGAUUUUAAUUUGAUACAUGAUUGUGCAGAACAUGGGAGUGAAUAUUUUACUAUUAGAUUGCACUAUGGGGCAAGUUUAAUGGUUCGGAUUACAGAUUUUAUACUGGUGGUGAAGUUGAUCAUAUAGAUUUGUGUGAUGGUGAUAGAAUGUCAGUGCUUGAGAUUAAUGAAAUGUUAAAAAAACUGGGGUAUGGGGAAGAGGAAGCUGUGUUGUACUAUUACCUUGAGCCGACAAGUGUUCUACCUGAUGGACUAAGGCAAUUGCAAACUGAUCAACAUGUUAACCAGUUCUGUAGUUGGGUACAGGAAUAUAAGGUGAUGGAAGUUUACUGUGACCAUAAGACCAUUGAAGAGGUAUUGAAAAUGCAAUUCAAUGAGCCUGUAGAGACAUAUGCAGCACCACCAAAAUCUGGUGUUUUGAUAGAAGAAAUAGAUGAUGAGGGCAGAGUUAUAGAGGAGCCUUGUACUGAUAUGGUAUUAACCAAAAAGCCUUUGAAUGCUGAAACUCAAAAUCAAAAAAAAAGUGGUGCAAGUGUAGGUGAAAAUUCAACAGAAAAACAGGUGCAGAAAGACAUUGUUAAUGAAAAGAUUCCAACCUCACAGGCUGAAAUUGAAAGUGGCAAACAAAAGACAACAACUAAAACAGUGGGAGGGGUAGGUACUAGUAAGGGUAGAGACAAUGAUGCUGCUGAUGACACGACCAGCAGCUCAGAUAAUGAGCAGUUCAGUGCUGAUGAUAAUUUCUGCAGAGAUGACUUGAUGUUUGAGGAUGCAUGCAGUAUAGAUGAAACAGAAAAUGACCAGCAAUCUGUGGGAAGGCAGCAGCAAGAGCAUGAAGAUGUGACUGGAACUUCUAACAUUCCUACCCAACAAUCACAAAAGAAAGGCAAAAAAAAUAAAGCAAGACAGCCUGCAAGUUUUGGUUCAAAAUCUAUAGAUGUUGGAGCUGCAUUUGAUGGGGACAAAAUAGAUGAUCAACUAGAUAGUGGGGAAGAGUCAUCUGAGGAAAGGGGAGGACAUAUCCCCAAAUUCAUUGACUUUAUCCCAGAGAGGGACAUGAAGAAUCCAAAAUUCUUUAAAGGGCAAAGAUUUGCUGAUAGCAGGGAGUUCAAAGAAGCUCUUAAAAACUAUGCAAUUGUUAAUGGUAAACCUGUGAAGCCUUGCAAAAAUGAGAGAAAAAGAGUUAGAGCAAAAUGUAAGCACCCCUGUAGGUGGUUUGUUUUUGCCUCAACAGUAAAUUGUCUAGGCACAAAUGACUUAGUGGUGAAGUCAAUCUAUGAUAAGCAUGAAAACUGUGGCCAUGCUUGGAAGAAUAGAGCUAUUACCUCAAAGUGGUUGGCAAAUAGGUAUGAAGAGAGGUACAGAUCCAACCUACAACUGCCUGUGAAAGAGUUAAUACAAACAGUUGAUGAAGAGUACAGGUCCAAAAUCACUAGAGCAGUGGCAUAUAAAGCAAGAGCACUAGCUACUCAAACUGUGAAGGGUUCAGCUGAAGAGCAGUACAAACUUUUGGGUAGGUACUCUGAGGAGCUUAAAAAAACUCAUCCAGGUACAACGACUGAAAUUGUAUUCACUCCAUUCAGAAAACCUGGUGGUAAUCCAACAUUCAUGCGAUUCUAUUGCUGUUUGGGGCCACUUAAGAGGGGAUUUUUUAGUGGUUGCAGGCCACUAAUAGGUCUUGAUGGUUGUCAUACUAAAGGAACUCAUCGUGGUCAAUUACUAACAGCUAUGGGUGUUGACCCUAACAAUGGAUGGUGGCCCAUUGCAUGGGCAGUUGUUGAAAAAGAAGCUGGAGAGCAAUGGAAAUGGUUCCUUCAACUCCUGGCUGAUGACUUGAAUAUUGACAAUCAACAUCAUUACACCUUCAUUUCUGAUCAACAAAAGGUAAGAGUAUCAAUAUAGUUUGAGUGUUAACAAUUGUUCCAAUAGAAAUGAUAUCCUUCAUAUUUAUCAGUUUCAGUGUUGACUCAUGUUUUUUACCUUUGUAAAGGGAUUGGACAGAGCUUUGUCUGAGAUACUUCCUGGGAGUGAGCAUAGAUAUUGUGUACAACACAUGUACAGAAAUUUAAAAAAAAAAAAACAUCCCGGCAAAGCUUUGAAGUCCAAGAUGUGGGGUAUAGCCACUAGUACAAGUAUGGAAGAGUUCAACAAGGCCAUGGAAGACAUGAAAGAUUUUGACUGUGAGGCCUUUAAAUGGGUGGAAAAAGCACCUCAUGCCAGGCACUGGUGUAAGGCAUUUUUUCCAGUCCAUACGAAAUGUGAUAUGCUGGUAAACAAUAUUUGUGAAACCUUCAAUGCGUUCAUUCUUGAAGCCAGAGACAAACCAAUAAUAUCAAUGCUUGAACAAAUAAGAGAGAAGGUGAUGCAGAGGAUCCAACAAAGAAGAGAAGGGAUAUCUAAAUGGACUGAACCAGUAGGGCCCCUAAUCAAAGAAUUGAUUGAGGAUAGAAUUAAGCAGGCCUGUCUUUGGGAGCCAAUCUGGAAUGGUUUGUAUGGCUACCAAGUGAAAGGUCCUCGGGCAGCUCAAUAUGCAGUAGAUUUCAGAAAAAACACAUGCACGUGCCAACUUUGGGAGAUAAGUGGGAUUCCGUGUAUUCAUGCCAUUUCUGCAAUGCUGGUGUCUGAUAGAAAUCCAAUGCAGUUCACAGCCCCAUGCUACUCAAGAGAGUUGUUUGCUAAAAUUUAUGAGAAUGUCUUGGAGCCAAUUAGUGGGGUCUCACUUUGGCCUAAUUCUGAGCAUUUGGAAAUGGAUCCUCCAGUCGCUUGUGUACAACCUGGAAGGCCAAAAAAGGCUAGAAGAAGGGAUAUAACAGAGGAAAAGGGAAAUAGUACCAAGCUGCGGAAGAUAGUUGUGAUGCACUGUAGAAAAUGUGGAGAGACUGGCCACAAUGCUGCAACUUGUUCAAGAGAUAGAGGGGCUGAGCAGCAACAGCAAAGCCAAAAUUCAGAAAAACAACAGUCCAAACGAGUAUGAAAUUUGAAUUUUCACUAACAUUGUUUGUACAUUAAUCCACAUAUUGAUCUGGCCACAUUUACACUUUCAGGGAAGGAGAGAAAAGCAGGGUGUACCUGAAUCUUCUCAUGCAAAUAAAGAGCAGGGACAGCAAUCUAGACAGCCUACCCAACAGCAGAAUCAAUCACAAAACAACCAACAACAACAGCCAUCUCAGGUUAGACAACAACACCAACCACCACCCUUCAAUCAGUCAACACAACAGCAAAAGCAACGGCAACCACCCCAGAAUCAAGCCUCCAGGACAAAGAAAAACAAUACAUUGACUGAUGCUGAAAAGGGAAGGAUAAACUCCAACUAUGCUUAUCUUGGAAAGCAGCCUCCUUUUUCUGUAGGAAGAUGGAAAGGAAGAUGGGGCAAAGGUAGAUCUACAAGAAGUGGUACUCAAAAUCAAAGUGAAAGUGCUGGUGGAAGAGGAAGUGGGAAUCCAAAUCAGGAUGAAGUUGCUGGUACAGGAGGAAGAAGAAAUGUCAAUCCAACUCAAAGUGAGGGUGCUGGUGCAAGAGGAAGAGGAAGAGGACGUGUGCCUUCAUCUUCAACUAACUAUUAGAUUUGUUGCCUAGUCAAUGGCAUUGGAUGCCAUUUUACUUUUGCUUUCAGAACAUGACUUAUCUCGUGCUAUGUCGAGCAUGAAAAUGACUUGUCUUUUUGGUGGUUUAUUCGUAGAUGUCGUACAGUUGGACCACCUUUUGUUUGUUAAUUAAGUGGCUUGACUCUUGGUAUUAAUGAUGUAAUUAUAUGUUGGCAGUUGGUAUUUAAUCAAAAAGGUUUUUGGUUUCCCUAUGUUCUAUCAUAAUCCAAUUUUAGACUAUUCUAGCUUUUCCAUUGUUAAACAUGUUAAAAUGAACACGUCAAAUAUACCAUUGUUUCAAUUGUACAUUGCUCACAAAAACAGAAUAAAUCAAUAUGAUGCAAUCAUUAAAGCAAAACAUGCUUGUCCAAUACGUUCUGUGGCCAAUUAAAACAAAACAUGCUUUUCCAUUCACCCAUGAACUACAUUUGUACAUAUUACAUUCCAGUUCCACUUUCUUCAUUCCUUUGCUUAUAAUACAUCUUUCUGGGGUAAUUGCAAUAGAUCAUUAUUUCCUAAAUUUCCAAACACCCAGACUGCAAAUACUGCUAACACAAAGCCAUAGGUGAUUGCAAGAGCUGCAGCAAACUUCCUCUCCCUUGAUGCAUGUUGUUGCAUCAUAAUUUCCAACCUUCGAACCUUUGUGUGCAAUUUUGCUGCUUUGCACUCCCACUUUUGUGCAGACUCUUCGGCAUUUGUGAGCUGUUUCUCCAUUUGAUUGAUUCGCCGAAGCAACCCAGGUAUAAUCUCCACUGAACGCGGACACAUUUCUUCAUCUAUCCAUUUCCAAUACUUGCAUCCCUAACCCAAAUUCAAAUUCAUAACAAAAUAGCAAUUACUAACAACUUACCUCAGCAAUUACUAACAACUUCACUAAAUUACUGCUAUCCAUUGCCUGAGCAACUGGACAUUCCGCAUAUCUUCGACCUGGAUUCCGUGGAGUCCAUGACGUUUUCAGAAUGGUACUCAAUCCGCAGCCACACAUUGGAGGUAUUGGAUUUGAUCUUGGCAUCUUCCACCUCGUCGUUUCCAAUGUUAUACGUGCAAGAAAACCCUAAUUUUUCUUUCUUUUGCAGAAGAAGAAGAUGGGAUUUCAACAAAUGGGCAAAACUCGAUUUUUGGAAAGGAUUUCCGUUGCUUCGAUUUUGCCUUGCUUAAGAAUUGAAGAGUUGCAUCUUUCAAUCUCUUUUUACGCUACUUAGUUGCUGGUCCCGAGGGUGCAAACAUGAACGGACAAAAAUGCCCUUUACUUCCGGUUAGAUUUGUGGUUAAAGUGAUCAGAAGUCCUCAAAGUAUGCAUUUUUAAUUGUUUAAAGAUCAAUCGGAAACAAAUUUUAGAUGGGGGGCCAAAAGAUGACAACGGCAAUAGUUUAAGGGCUCCCCAGGUUUUUUCCUCUAAAUAUUUUAAUCCAUACGUACAUCAAAUACUACAACUCAACAAACAAAAAAUUCAUAAUUCAUCACCAAAGAACCAGACGUUUCUGUGCUAAGAUACAUAACAAAAGACUACUGUCUAGAAAAAGAUCUGCUGAUUAAGUUUUUAAUUCAUACUUGAAUCCCAAUACUUUUCUACACUAUCCGACUAGUUGUUGCAUGCGACAUAAAGCUACCGCAGCUUACUUAGACCACCAAUUUUGACCACUUGAUUCCAAUUCUUAAAUUUCUAUGAACCAACAUCAAGUUCUACUUGUGACUUUUGACCAAAAAGAUAGAAACAUCAAGCUCUAGUUGCAGGCGGUCGGCCUUUGGUUUAACUAUGACCUAAACAAAUACGAACAAAGUGCAACAUCAUUGGAUUAAUAAUUGAUACAUUGUUUAUGUGUUUGUCUAUGUCGAGAAUCUUUAACACUAGUAUUCCUUGAAAUAUGACACACAAUCUUUACUCCAAUUCAAUUUCCACACAUAAAGCAUGCAGUAAUCAAGCCAAAAAAAAAUUGUUUAUUCUAUUAAAAAAAUUAGAAAAAUGAUAUAGUCCUUUUUAGAUAUCGGUCCCUCAUGUAAAUUUUAAUAUAAUAUUCAAUAUGGAUAAAACCCAAAUGACCCAUAACCUAUUAAUUCUCUUCAAUUAAGCAUGCCACAUAGCAGUGAAAAACACUCUAAUUAAAAUAGUUACUUUCAGAUAUAUAUAUAUAUAUACACAUAGAUUCCCAUAAAAAAAUCUCAAAUUGGGUAUGAUUUGUUUUAAUUUAGUUUUUAAGUAAUUUUGGAGAAUGGACAUAUUUUAGACAUGAAUUCAUAUUUUUAUAUAUAAUUUUUAGGUGUGUAUUUGAUUGCAACCUAAUAUUUUUGUGACAUUUUGUAUGGUUGGCCGAAUAUAACCAAGAAAUAAAUUUCAAUAUUUCUGAAACUUAUAAAAAUAUAAAAUAAUUAUGACAUCAUGCUAACCUUAGCGAAUUUUUGAGAAUGGUGUAACUAAUCCGACUAGUUGACCCUUGACCCAAUAGUUUAGUUGCAAUACGUUAUAAUGGUUAAAGAAUUGUUAUAAUUGGAUAUGUCAUCUGAAUGUUUGACAAAUCUAUGUAUAUACCUGGAAGGAAAAUACUAAAAAUGUUACUAUGAAAAUGAUUAAAAAAAUGGGACUAAUCACAUUAUUUCUCAAUUUGCCAAUUCAAUCUUUAUUAAUCAAGGAGUAAAAUGGACUAAAGUGAUGAAGUUGUAAUGAGGUGAAUAAUUUUAAUAGGGACUAAUCAAAUUAUCCAAAUUUAUUUUCUUUAAUUAUGGAAGGAAAAAUGGGUUAAAGUCUAUAAACAAACUAUAAACAAUUUAUUAAACACUUAUUUGAAGUGGGAAAGUUUUAAAUUUUAAAUUUGAAUUGACAUACGAUUAGUUGUAAAUCACUAUUUAAAACUAUUUAAUUGAGUGUAUGUAUUAAAAUAAAUGAAAAAUCUAGGAAAAAAGUAUGGGAGAUUUGGAAGCCAUCCAAAGGGCCUCCACUAAAACUUCCCCUGCAAUACAUAUAGAUAUAGAUAGAUUUUAUUUAAAAAAAGUAAAGGUUAUAUUUAAAUUGCUAUGAUUACAAUUCUUGAUAGAAACAUCAAGUUCUAGUUGCAGGCGGCCGGCCUUGGGCUUAACUAUGGCCUAAACAAAUACGAAAAAGUGCAACAUCAUUGGAUUAAUAAUUGAUACAUUGUUUAUGUCUAUGUCUACGUGGAGAAUCUUUUACACUUAGUAUUCCUUGAAAUAUGACACACAAUCUUUACUCCAAUUCAAUUUCCACACAUAACGCAUGCAGUAAUCAGGCCAAAAAAAUUGUUUAUUCUAUUAAAAAAUUAGAAAAAUGAUAUAGUCCUUUUUAGAUAUCAGUCCCUCAGGUAAAAUUUAUUGCUAAAUGGUGAAAUAAGUUAUUUUAAUUUUGGAAGAAGAGAUGGGUUGAAUGAUUCGAGCGGAGGGAAUGUAAGUUGUUGGAUUUGGAUUUUAACCCACCAACCGUUUAUUUUGUCGAGAUUGGGUAUUGGGAUAAAACCAAACCCAACAUAAGUGAAUGUAAGUGUGAUGUUUCAAGGUUGAAUUUUUUCACUUAUAUUAAAAGAAAAGUUAUUUUAAUCUUUAAAUUGUAACAAUUUCGAUCAUUUAAAAUAUAGACAAUUAUCAUCAUGAUUGAGAACGCAUAUUGAAGAGAUAAGUUGUUAAGACCAGAGAAUUUUUGUGAAGAUUACUUCCAAAUAAAAAAAGUUUAACCAAGAAAAGAACAUUUGAAACAUAACCCCCCUUUCGGCUGUUUGGUGAAAGUAAAGAAAAAGGGAAAGUCAUGCACUUAAUUGGUACUAAAAUAAAUAUUUUUUUUUCUGCCGUCCGUUUUAAAAUGGUCAACAGGAAACACGUCACUCCAAUUUUCACUAAACGAUAGAUUUAAAAUUAAAACAACAUUUUGGAUUCCAAAUUAACUACGCAAGACAAAAACGUCCGAUUCCCCUAGGCAUUAAAAUAAGGAAACAAGAUUAUUUAAACACUACUGCUGAUGGACCACAUAACAUUUGUGUUGUUUACUCUCAAUAUAACCAAAAUUUUAACAGCAAAAGACAAGGUAGUUGCCUCGGCCCUCUUAAAGCAUCAUUCCUUAUAUAAACCCAAGGACCCAAUUAUGAUAAACAUAAUUUAAAAUACCAGUAGUUUAUUGGGCAUUGGAAGAUAAAGUUUGACAGAUUUGUGAACGUAAUGCACGCUGUUUUGAAAUAAUUGUACUCGGCUCCCAAUGAACGUUGUUAUUCUUUAGUAUCUUCUUUGUGAGCCCAAUUUCACAAAUUUUAGAGACAAGGUAAGAGGUCAUCAUAAGUGUUCUAAGUUAACUAGUUAAGUGAAAGACUUUUGUAGCUAAAAUUAAGACACAAUUGCUUAUAAUGAGUUAUAAAAUCCGAAUUAUUCAAUAUACUUAUUUGGUGGCUAAAUAAUAAACAGAUUUCAUGAUGCAAGGCCUAUUUUUUUCCCUCAAAUUGGAGCAUCAUCCGUUUCAUUCAGCCCAAAAAACAGAGUCUUAUUCAUCAUCUGCCCAAGAAUGGCUUUACUAGAACGCAAAUUUCAAGAAAUGGAUCAUCUUUGUUAAGGCCAAUAUUUUAAGAAAUGACCCAAUUAUGAUAAACAUAAUUUUAAUCAAGCCAACCCUAUUACUUUAACCAGUUUUGGUUAAAUAAUAUAAACCCAAGGACCCCUCUCUUUAAGAUACCAAGCUUGUAAUAAUUUAUGGAUGGACAUGAGUUUCCAUUUUAAAUGUUCAUCAGUUGAGGCCUUUUUUUCCCCCCUUCUCUCUGUUAUUUUUUCGUAGAAAGAAAUUGUUGCGAACAAGAAUGUCAUAUGCUUCAUAACAUGCUAAGGAGAAAUUAAUUUGUACUCCAAAAAAAAUUAAUAAAAACGAAAGCCCUUCGAUUGUUAUCCCUUUGUUGUGGGUCAUGAGAAGGCAACGUAUACCAAAUACCCUGAAAUCAUUAGACCAAAUCUAAGAAGAGGGGAGCUAAUCGUUGUUUUUCAGAUUUGAUGGAAGGUUAGUGAAAUUGUCACAAGUCUCAAAGUGACUUGCACUGACCGGAAGAGAUAGUGAGGCAGACAAUUUGUUCACCUUUUAAUACCAUCCGGGGAAAAAAAAGAAGCAAAAAUUCUAGUUGUAUGUGAUUUUAGAGGUUAUGUGUGAGAUUGAAAUCUUGUUCCAUGCUUCAAUAUUACACAAAGUUUGCUCUUCGCACAAGCUUAUGUGACACUUAGACAUCCAUGUGUAAACUUCUCUGUAGGCUACAAAAUUGUGAUGAGCAUGCAAGUGCAAGAUUUUAUUUGCAUAUAAUCUGAGGUUGUUAGCCAUGUAAUGCACUGAAAUAUGAGGGGAAAUACUGAAAUAUUGUUCCUCAAACUUCAAUUGCAAAUUUAAAUUUUCUUUUUCAAUUUCAAUGUGGUUUGAAUAUUUUCAAAAAAUUAUUAUCUAGAAGAAGUUGUAAGAAAAAGAAGGUGCAAAUGGUUCUCCAAACUAGAUCUUGUACCCCUUCAUUCGAGAGAGAGCACAAUUAAAAUGGGAAGAAAUUUACUUAACAUUUUAUUCGAUUUGGGAACUCAUAGCCACAUUAGUAGAUUGAUCUCUGGCGUAAGCAGCCAGGACUACAUUUCAUCUCUCAGUAGAUAAUGAGAGGAACUCAUGCGACAGCAUGGGAUUUUUUCACGGACUUGGUUGUAUAAGUCAGAGGAUCGCCGUUAACAUAAGGCCUGAUUGCUCGACUGUAGUUUUGGUCAUAGAAUGUGCUCCAAAGCAUGACCCCUCCAUAGUUGGGAUAGCUCUGCACAACGGGAAGAAUCUGACUAAUUAGCACUUCAGGUGGGAUGUAACCGCCACUAUAUGCUGCUUGAGGGUCUGCAGGUAAUCCCAGGAAUAAUUUAUUAACGCCUGGAUAGGGAGCCCAUUGAUCCCAACUGGCAAAGAGUUUACUGGGAUCGCCUGAUGUAUACUGACAAGGAGGAUUGUUGUAAAACUGCACCCACACGUAGUCAAAGAGGCCAGUUUUGAUAGCAGUGUCAAGAUAAUGGUCAGGAAUGGGACAUUGUGGUGCUGCAGAUAGGUACACCUUUCUCUCUGGAGUGCUGUAUCCCGAGAGUGCCCGGGCGAGAUCAUCCCAAUACAGGUUCGAUCCAAGUUCGAUAUCAAAGUCUAUACCAUCCAAAAUAGCAUCACCAAGUGGACGAGAGGAUGAUUGACCCCCCAAAUAAUUGUUCCAGAGAUAGGCUGCAACAUUGCGAGCAUCUUCG
rnacentral:lncRNA from 1 species